rnacentral:rRNA from 1 species
GUACACUCCUACGGGAGGCAGCAGUGGGGAAUUUUGGACAAUGGGGGCAACCCUGAUCCAGCAAUGCCGCGUGAGUGAAGAAGGCCUUCGGGUUGUAAAGCUCUUUUGUCAGGGAAGAAACGGUGGUGGCGAAUAACUACUACUAAUGACGGUACCUGAAGAAUAAGCACCGGCUAACUACGUGCCAGCAGCCGCGGUAAUACGUAGGGUGCAAGCGUUAAUCGGAAUUACUGGGCGUAAAGCGUGCGCAGGCGGUUGUGUAAGUCAGAUGUGAAAUCCCCGGGCUCAACCUGGGAAUUGCAUUUGAGACUGCACGGCUAGAGUGUGUCAGAGGGGGGUAGAAUUCCACGUGUAGCAGUGAAAUGCGUAGAUAUGUGGAGGAAUACCGAUGGCGAAGGCAGCCCCCUGGGAUAACACUGACGCUCAUGCACGAAAGCGUGGGGAGCAAACAGGAUUAGAAACCCGUGUAGUCCCA